rnacentral:tRNA from 1 species
GGGCCCGUAGCUCAGCUUGGUAGAGCGUCGGACUUUUAAUCCGCAGGUCGAGGGUUCGAAUCCAAGCUUUUGAAAAAGCUUGAUCAAAACUUGGCGUUUAUCCCUCCGGGCCCG